rnacentral:rRNA from 1 species
AAAAACACAGGUCUCUGCUAAACCGUAAGGUGAUGUAUAGGGGCUGACGCCUGCCCGGUGCUGGAAGGUUAAGAGGAGUGGUUAGCUUCUGCGAAGCUACGAAUCGAAGCCCCAGUAAACGGCGGCCGUAACUAUAACGGUCCUAAGGUAGCGAAAUUCCUUGUCGGGUAAGUUCCGACCCGCACGAAAGGCGUAACGAUUUGGGCACUGUCUCAACGAGAGACUCGGUGAAAUCAUAGUACCUGUGAAGAUGCAGGUUACCCGCGACAGGACGGAAAGACCCCGUGGAGCUUUACUGUAGCCUGAUAUUGAAAUUCGGCACAGCUUGUACAGGAUAGGUAGGAGCCUUUGAAACGUGAGCGCUAGCUUACGUGGAGGCGCUGGUGGGAUACUACCCU